UACGGGGGGAGCAAGCGUUGUUCGGAUUUACUGGGCGUAAAGGGUGCGUAGGAGGGCAGGUAAGUCAGUGGUGAAAUCUCCGAGCUUAACUUGGAACUGCCGUUGAUACUAUCUGUCUUGAAUACCGUGGAGAUGAGCGGAAUAUGUCAUGUAGCGGUGAAAUGCUUAGAUAUGACAUAGAACACCAAUUGCGAAGGCAGCUCACUACGCGAAUAUUGACACUGAGGCACGAAAGCGUGGGGAUCAAACAGG
rnacentral:rRNA from 1 species